GCUAGCUUGGUUCCUGGGGGGCUUUCUUCUUCUUUGCCCUCCCUCCAGAGCCAAGGAUCAAUCUGAGACCACAGUGACAUUACUGUACUGCAUCCCUUCCUGAGCCUGCACUGAGAUAUCACCCCUGCGUGGACCUGCCCAGUGUGCCACAGACUGAGAGUCCCUCUGAGCCAAAACCCUCCAAGUGCCCUGGAGACAUCAAACUGGGCACAGUCAUAGUUAAGUGACACUGUGUGGUCCAUGUUCAGCAGAGGAUCAGAUCAGAAAAUGCUAAAGAAUGCCCAAAUGAAAAUCCACUGAUGACUCCAAGAUGCCUAAAUGAAUAACAGCACUGACCAGGUGAAAAGCAGAUCCAUUGCAGCUGAGAGCUGGAGGGUGAUACUCCCUCAGAUGCAGGCGGACCUAUACCUAUUUUU